GGCCUGGCAGCGCCAACUGGCAUCUGAACUCCCUGCAUCCGUUGUGUGCCUCCCACAGAGAUGGGACUGCCAAGACCUUGCUCAGGCUCUGACCAGGCCUGAGCUCCUGCCCAGGAAAUGUGAGGCACAAGUGAAAUGCAGAGGAGACACUUCCUCUGUUGUAAGAGGCUGAGCCUGGCUUUAAGGAGCAGGGGUGCUUACUGGAAAUGAUGCUGGCCUGGAGUCUGGAGCCCUAGGUUUCUGCCCUGAUUCUGCUACACAUUAACUGUGUGACUUCAGGUGUUUACAAGCCGCCUCUCAGGAGCAUGUGUGUCAGCUCUAUGAAAUUUCUGGAAAGAAAAGGAAUAUACAUCUCUUCACCUGCUCCAAGACUCCUAGGGCAUGCACGUGUGUGUAUGUGUCCAUAAAGAA